rnacentral:lncRNA from 1 species
GGGAGAAUCAGAAGGGCAGAGGGCAUCAGUUGGGAAGAGUCUGUGGUUGGAGACUGCAAACAUGUGGAAGGGAGUUUGGAGGGACACUGGCCAGGUGCCUGAACACGUGGCAUUCUCUGGAAGGAACUAACCAGCGUGAGGACAUGCUGAUUGCAUACUCAGCCACCACCCAUGAAGGCUCUAAACCUGAGUACCUGUAAUUCCGGCUUCACCCUCAGCUUGCAGAGUGAGCUCAGGGAGACCAUUUGGAUGUGGCUAAAUACCCCAGGCUGCUUGCUGCAGCACGGUCGUUGUCAAGGAUACUUGGUUGAUGAAUAAAACAUCCCAGAAACGAGAGGUGCAUCUCCGAGAAAGUCCUGCAAUUGACAAGAGGAGCCCCAGUACCAUCUGGGCUGUGAGUGACAGAGGAGUCCCUUUGCAGGCCAUAGGCUGGCAGGGAUGGAGGGCUGGACAGGUGCUUGCCCACCGCCGGCCACGGGAAAGUUCUCUCCCUGUCACUGCAACGUGCGACAGGGCCGCUAAAAAGGUGACCCCUGUACGAAGGAAUGAAUGAGAUAAAACAGAGCAAGCGCUGGGAAAAAGGGAAUGAAAGCUGACGUUCACUGCUUUUUGUUCUCCCUUGGGUCUCUGUGGUCCAGGAAAAUGCAACAUGAACCUCGAUUGUUCUGUGGACCAUUCCUCCCUCUAUGAAAAUUUACAUAAUUCUUGAUGUCAAAUUUCAAAUAACACAGAAGUUUAUAGAGUAAAAAAAAAA